rnacentral:lncRNA from 1 species
CUCGUCUCUCUUUGUCGGAAACAACGUUGUUGGAGGCAGCAGCGUCGAGCUCCACCGCCGUAAGAAGUGGACUGUGAUUUCUUCCUCCGAUCUGUACCUUUACCAGAGUUUGAGUGUGUUUUUGUUGGUUAUUGAUUGUGUUGUGAACAUUACAAUGAUGGUGGCAAUUCAAUGGUGGGUUGCAGUGGUGUUGUUACAGGUGGUGAUGGUGGUGUCACAGGCAUAGGGUGACUGUUCGAUGGUGGCACAAGCAUUGUAGCGGUAGUGGUGAUUCGAAGGUUGGGGUGAUUUUUUAUUUUUAUUUUUUUUAAAAUGUUUGGGUGACGUUUUUGUUUAGUUUGGGGUGUUUCUGUUGGUGAAUGUUGCUAUGGUGGUGGUGGUUCAAUGGUGGGAUUGUGGAGGUGUUGUUACAGGUUAUGGGGUGGUGGUAAUGGUGCAGUAGUGUGGGUAGUGGUGGUGGUGUUUUUUUUUUUUUUUUUUUUUUGUUGGAGUAGUGGUGGUCGUUUCUUGUUUGGGAUUUGGGUGGUUUUGGCACUGGUGAAGCUGGCGGUGGUGGUGAAUUUGGCAAGGUGGUGGUUGGCGAUAUUGCAGUGGG